rnacentral:rRNA from 1 species
GACAGAGGAUGCAAGCGUUAUCCGGAAUGAUUGGGCGUAAAGCGUCUGUAGGUGGCUUUUCAAGUCCGCCGUCAAAUCCCAGGGCUCAACCCUGGACAGGCGGUGGAAACUGCCAAGCUGGAGUACGGUAGGGGCAGAGGGAAUUUCCGGUGUAGCGGUGAAAUGCGUAGAGAUCGGAAGGAACAUCAGUGGCGAAGGCGACUGUCUGGACAGAUACUGACGCUGAGGCGCGAAAGCGUGGGGAGCAAACAGG